GACACGGUGGCACAGGGGUAGUACUGUGGCUUCCAGUUAGAAGGUUGCUGGUUCGAGACCCGCCAGUGACC